rnacentral:rRNA from 1 species
CGAAAGCCUGACGGAGCAAGACCGCGUGAGGGAGGAAGGCUCUUGGGUUGUAAACCUCUUUUCUCAGGGAAGAAGCUCUGACGGUACCUGAGGAAUCAGCCUCGGCUAACUCCGUGCCAGCAGCCGCGGUAAUACGGAGGAUGCAAGCGUUAUCCGGAAUUAUUGGGCGUAAAGCGUCCGCAGGUGGCUUUUCAAGUCUGCUGUCAAAGGCCAGAGCUCAACUCUGGGCAGGCGGUGGAAACUGGGAAGCUAGAGUACGGUAGGGGUAGAGGGAAUUCCCAGUGUAGCGGUGAAAUGCGUAGAGAUCGGGAAGAACAUCGGUGGCGAAAGCGCUCUACUGGACGGCAACUGACACUCAGGGACGAAAGCUAGGGGAGCG